AGAAGGCCUACGGAUUGAAGGCAACAACUUCCCCAAAUGGAAACAUGAAGAAGGUGCCUACCGCCCAGCCAACACCCUUGUGCGCUUAGCCAUUCACGCUUGCCUCNUUCUUCAUUGNCGCACAUGUUAAACAUUNUUCAUAUGAAGCAUGUGGCCAGNUGGACANCUUCCUCCACAAGUUUCCUUUAGCUUUCCAUCACGUUUUCAAUAAGCAAAUAUGUUAGCUUCC
rnacentral:lncRNA from 1 species